rnacentral:misc_RNA from 1 species
UGCAGCCACAGAACCAAGAUCAAGGCACGGGUGGCUGGGUGGCUGGCUGCCUGUCUGUCACUUUCCUCGUGUGCUGCCCUUCUCCAGCUGCCCCUAUGUACUCCCUUUAGCAAAAGAGGGGAGCACAAAUGGCAGAGAGCAAGAAUGGGGGGGAGGAGUGCCCAGAAUCUCCCACCACAACAGAAACUUCCAGCAAUUCAGAUGCAACAGACACAGAACGGGAAUGGGCACAGGCAGCACAGACACAGUUCACUAAGGGAAACUAUGUGGCUGCCCUCACACUACUCUCUUACCUCCACGGCACUAGACCAAAGGAUCCAAAGGUCCUGAUGAACAAGGCUGUUGUAGAAUACUAUAAGAGUGACCUGAAGAAAACAGAAUCAUUUCGUAAACAACUGGCGGACAUCUGUACACAAUGUGGGAUCAAAAUAGAUGCAGUAGGUACAGGGGAUGAGGUGGAACGGAGUGUGAUCCGCUUCAAUCAUUGUGUGGUGUUGUAUCACCUCCAUCAGUACUGUGCUGCCCUUGCCCUCCUGGAGAAGAUGUACACUGGCCUGGAGUCUUUGGAGGAGAGUGUUGGUAUAGGUGUGUGUCUGCUGAUGGCUGAGUGUCACCUGGGAACAUAUCAUCCAGAGCGAGCCCUUACCAUCAUUACCCACACGGAGACCACCUUCUUGCCUCAGCCAUUGCCUCAUACACCUUCACAUAAGCAACCUCCACCACAGGAAAAGGAAAACAAAUCUCCAGAAAAAAUUAGUGUAUCUGGUGGGACUGGAAGUAGCAGUAGUAGCAGCAGUAGUAGCAGUAGUAGUAGCAGCAGCAGCAGUACCACAAGCACAGCAACCGAUGAAAUUCGAUGUAGUGCCACUCAGGAACAAUUACGGGGGAAGCUUCAGCAGCUGCGUGUGCGGGCAUUGCUCAUGAUGAGAGCUUUGAGGGUGGCCAAGAAGGAACUCAAAACAAUAGUAACCCAUGCAGUCACUGCUGGCAACUCUUUGAAUGUGACCCUCAUAAGUCUGAAGAGUCAGCUUGAAUACUUGAAAGGCAACUUUCGGAAAGCUAUCAAAGUUCUUAAUCAGUGUGCAGCAAUACCUCCUCCUAGUCCGUCAUAUGGCCCUAGUCUUGGUGUCAUGUACUAUAACAACCUGGGAGUUAUUCACCUGGGCAUGGGUAAGCCAACAGUAGCCUGCCUUUACUUGCAGAAGGCUCUCCAAGAAACUCAGAAUGGAGAAGAAUCAAAUUCAUCAGCACACUCAGAGGUGUUGUCACACCAACCACUGUAUCAGUUGAGCAGCAAUGUGCAGCCUGAGCUUUACUACAACCUAGGUGUGACAUUGUUGCACAUGAACAAACCUGACAAGGCCUUUGACUUCUUACUAGAGGUGCUGCAGGUGCAUCCUAUGAACCCACGGUUGUGGCUGCGGCUUGCUGAAUGCUGCAUCACCGUACACAAGCUGGGCUUGAAGGAAGACCAAAGCUCCAAGAGGUCCAUUAUUCAGGGGACAGUUGGUGUUGGGAUGCAUCGCAAGAUCUGCCUCACUACACGCAUCACCGACCAUAACAAGAAAAAGAGCGAAAUGGAUUCCGAGUCAGAUGCAGCCUUUCCAGAGCCCACGCUAGAGUUUGCGCGUCUGUGCCUCCGCAAUGCCCUUACCAUCCUUCCUGAGAAUGUCUCCACCACCUCCCUUACAGAUGAGCAGGAAGUCUCAGGAGUGAUGCCAGAGCUCUAUCCUGCUGGGCCCUCCUCUCCUCUGCGUGGUGCUGAGGUAGUGAGCCUGAGAGUGUCAGCAUUGGCCUGCAGUGCCUAUGUGGGUCUCUGCCUGUCAGACUUCUCUGCAGCCCUCCGCCAUGCAGAACUCCUGCUGGUUGCUCAUCCCAAAAUACCAGAUGUGUAUAAACUGCUGGGCCAUCUCUAUGCUGGGGAAGCCCUCAUCUCCCUGGGGAAGGUAACUGAGGCUAUACAACACCUGGAUCCCAGGGUAGUAGGGGAGGUCUCCCUCUCACCACCAGCUCAAGAAGCCUCCAACUCAUUCCCAGCUUUCACUCCUUCCCAAGGGUGGCUCAACACGACUGCCACCACUGCCAUGCAGGUGAUGCGGUAUAACUUGAGUGUAGCAUAUGCCCUGCGUGGUGAGUGGGAGAAGGCAAAUAACCUGCUGAAGGAGGUAUGGACUGAAAGCAAUGGAAAUAUGCCAGCACAGGUCAUCAUGCUGGCCAUGUAUAUCAAUCUGCAGAUGGUUUUGCAGUGCCUGCAUUCUGUGAAUUAGAAUUAGACAUGCAAAGGUGGCUAGCUUGGUCUUUUUUGGUUGCCUGAGGAGAAUAUGGAAGUUCCUUCCACUUAACUGUGCCAAGCUUUAGAAUGGUCAGUUAACAUCAACUACUGCAACAUACUCAACUGUGUAUGCUAUCCAUGGCAAUGAUGGAAGUAUGCAUUAUCCUCAUGAACCUGUCCUUCAUGCUCACCACUUGAGUCGUGGCUGCCUGCUCCAACUCAUCAAGGCUUAAGAUGGGGCAAGAAAAAUGUACCACUAGCACUGUCUCCAUUGGUGUAGUGAGGUUUCACCUGUCUCCUGAGUUCCCUGCCUGUCGAGGAUGCUUUCCCUAGCUCACCACUGGAGAGGACAAUAAAACUGG